rnacentral:lncRNA from 1 species
GGUGGCACAGGAGACUACGUUUUUAAUUGACAGGGUUGAUUAACGUGGAUUUGACUUAUUUUAAAAUUAAAAAAUUAGGGAAAAAUUGGAAAAAAUUCCAGAAAGAUAACUUCAUUCAGUUUGUUUUGUAAAUCCCUAAUCUGCUCCAUCACAUCCUCAACGUAAUCAUCAUCCCUUCUCCUAUCAUCUUUAUUCCAAUAUCUUGAAUCUCAAGACCAUGUCCUCCAGAAGCAUGCCCAAAGUCAAGAACUUUUUUCUUAUAAUUCCAAGGUACAUUUAUGCUGGAGCAUCUGCAAACAUUUGAUUAUAACAGAUGAAACCAAUAACUCAAUCUAUUUUACUUCUCUAAAUAACCUAGCCCCAAUCAACCAAUUCAACAGCCCAAAGUAAACAUCAUACAAGAAAAACUACAAAAAAGCUACUCAAUCUUUUGCAGUUGAGCUUGUAAUCAUUAAAUCCUCAAGCAAAUUAAUGGAGCAAAAGGGAUAUUGAUAGUUGAGGAGGUGAGGUGAGGGAGGUGAAAGGUAAAAAGGAUGGAUCAGUUGUUCUUGGUAAUGCUGUCAAAUCUGCUUCACCUACACAACUCCCUCGACCCAACCACCUACCUUCUCUCCGACUCACUCUCAUCAACCACCGAACCCCUCCUCCCUCCUCCUCCAUCGCCCCUCCUUUUUUUCACCAUCGCCUUCGUCCUUUCCACGCGCCCCUCCUCCUCCUUUCCCAACCCCAACAUCGCGACCACCGACAACAACCCCAACACCAACACCACCACCAACGCCUCCUUUGACUACUCUGUCUCCGCCUUCCGCACGCUCUCCACAGAACACAUAUGCUCCCUCAAAGCAUUAAAAAAAAGAAUUAAUUGUUUAGUAUGUAAACGAUAACAGUAGGGAUACGUGGAGGUAGAGGUUGACUGAAGGAAGAAUGGGUACUUUCAAGAUUCCAAACCUGACAUAACUCUUUCAAACAAGGAGGUAAAAUCAUGACUUUUAAUUUUAUUUUUCUUCGAGAUGGGUAACCUAAAUGCCAAACAGAGAAAAUAUAUGAACCUGUAAAAGUUUAUUAUUGAUCCUACCUCGAAGCCCCUCUCGACGACGCCCAAUUUAGGUUUUCCUGUUUAGGUUUUUCUGAUUGCGGAACCAUCUCGAUAGUUAACUUCGAUUGCGGUGAAUCCAGCAACUCUCCAGUGGAUCCUAAUUUUUUCUU